rnacentral:rRNA from 1 species
UACAGAGGUCUCAAGCGUUGUUCGGAUUCAUUGGGCGUAAAGGGUGCGUAGGCGGCGCGGUAAGUCGGGUGUGAAAUCUCGGAGCUUAACUCCGAGCCUGCUUCCGAUACGGGCAGACUAGAGGUAGGCAGGGGAGAGCGGAACUCCUGGUGUAGCGGUGGAAUGCGCAGAUAUCAGGAAGAACACCAACGGCGAAGGCAGCUCGCUGGGACGGUACUGACGCUGAGACGCGAAAGCGUGGGGAGCGAACAGG